rnacentral:rRNA from 1 species
CCCGCAACGAGCGCAACCCUUGCCAUUAGUUGCUACCAUUUAGUUGAGCACUCUAAUGGGACUGCCGGUGACAAACCGGAGGAAGGUGCGGAUGACGUCAAGUCCUCAUGGCCCUUAUGACCAGGGCUUCACACGUCAUACAAUGGUCGGUACAGAGGGUCGCGAAGCCGCGAGGUGGAGCCAAUCUCAUAAAACCGAUCGUAGUCCGGAUCGCACUCUGCAACUCGAGUGCGUGAAGUCGGAAUCGCUAGUAAUCGCGGAUCAGCAUGCCGCGGUGAAUACCUU